UACGUAGGGGGGCAAGCGUUGUCCGGAUUUAUUGGGCGUAAAGCGCGCGUAGGCGGCAAGGUAUGUCGUGCGUGAAAUCUCCCGGCUUAACUGGGAGGGGCCGUGCGAAACUGCCUGGCUUGAGGUCGGAAGGGGAAAGUGGAAUUCCGGGUGUAGUGGUGGAAUACGUAGAUAUCGGGAGGAACACCAGUGGCGAAAGGCGGCUCUCUGGGGGCGAUCGUGACGCUGAGGCGCGAAAGCGUGGGGAGCAAAACCGG
rnacentral:rRNA from 1 species